UCCUACCUCUAAAGAGCUUUCCGUGCUCCUG
rnacentral:piRNA from 1 species